rnacentral:rRNA from 1 species
CAGCAGCCGCGGGAAUACGGAGGGAGCUAGCGUUGUUCGGAAUUACUGGGCGUAAAGCGCGCGUAGGCGGUUACUCAAGUCAGAGGUGAAAGCCCGGGGCUCAACCCCGGAACUGCCUUUGAAACUAGGUGACUAGAAUCUUGGAGAGGUCAGUGGAAUUCCGAGUGUAGAGGUGAAAUUCGUAGAUAUUCGGAAGAACACCAGUGGCGAAGGCGGCUUACUGGCUCAUACUGGACGCUGAGGUGCGAAAGCGUGGGGAGCAAACAGGAUUAGAUACCCCAGUGUCCCUGUCUCUUAUACA